GUAGGGAAUCUUGCGCAAUGGGCGAAAGCCUGACGCAGCCAUGCCGCGUGAAUGAUGAAGGUCUUAGGAUUGUAAAAUUCUUUCACCGGGGACGAUAAUGACGGUACCCGGAGAAGAAGCUCCGGCUAACUUCGUGCCAGCAGCCGCGGUAAUACGAAGGGGGCUAGCGUUGCUCGGAAUUACUGGGCGUAAAGGGCGCGUAGGCGGAUAUUUAAGUCGGGGGUGAAAGCCCGGGGCUCAACCUCGGAAUAGCCUUCGAUACUGGAUAUCUUGAGUACGGGAGAGGUGUGUGGAACUCCGAGUGUAGAGGUGAAAUUCGUAGAUAUUCGGAAGAACACCAGUGGCGAAGGCGACACACUGGCCCGUUACUGACGCUGAGGCGCGAAAGCGUGGGGAGCAAACAGGAUUAGAAACCCGGGUAGUCC
rnacentral:rRNA from 1 species